UACGUAGGGACCAAGCGUUGUUCGGAUUUACUGGGCGUAAAGGGCGCGUAGGCGGCGCGGUAAGUCACUUGUGAAAUCUCUGAGCUUAACUCAGAACGGCCAAGUGAUACUGCAGUGCUAGAGUGUGGAAGGGGCAAUCGGAAUUCUUGGUGUAGCGGUGAAAUGCGUAGAUAUCAAGAGGAACACCUGAGGUGAAGACGGGUUGCUGGGCCAACACUGACGCUGAGGAGCGAAAGCAUGGGGAGCGAACAGG
rnacentral:rRNA from 1 species